UAAAGUGGCCUUGACAUUAGUCCAUCUGUCUCUGUUAAAUCCAAAAUAAUUUUGAAUACCAAAUACCCCGGUCGAAAAUUCACAUAAGCACUUUGAGAAAUCCGCAUACUUUCUUGCUAGCUGGUAGGUCACAACAUACAAAUAAUAAAGCGCCACGUAUUGUACCAGAGGAGUCAGUUGAUACUCCAUCCUUUCACAAAGGGAUUUAAGUAUUUGUUGAUAUCUUUUAUUUGUUGAUAUCUUUUGAUGGCCCUUGAAAGAUUCCUAAUGUUUUCCCUCUUGUAUCUCAGGUAAAUUCAUAACCGCCAAAAUAAUGCAUGACACUAACAGAGUAUUCACGAUGUUUGAAUGGCUGAAACCAGUCUACCUUUAACAUAAAUACAAUACUAUUCUUCUGGCUCAAGAACAGUGUACCAUUAUACUCUGAGCUGAGAUGUUUUCUGACGCCACUUCUCACGCCACUUCUCACAUUCUUUUAAAACCACGAGAGAAUAAUGCUUGAUAUUAAAGAAGUGUAAGGGUAUACCAUGAAAGGAUAGACUUUUUGGCUACCUUUAGAGCUGAUCACUCUUUUUAACAAUGGUUGUCUAGACUGACAAACACACGACCUGAUAAUAAACAUUGAACCACACUACUGUUGCAGUAAUCAAAUAAAUUGAGGCAUUGUUUGCAAACUACAUACUGCUUUACAGAUGGCUCCUCUUCUACAAACUUUGUUCUUUUAUAUGUGACAGGGCCUAGGAAAACACAGCGGGUAUACCCCCCGAGUUUAUUUUUAUUGUUGAAUCGGAUAAAGCGUUCUCUGAGCUUCAAAAUGAUACCAAGAUAGCUAUUUUCUAUCCGGAGAUAUGUUCGAGGGAUCGCUACGAAGUAUUGCAACGCACAGAUGACACUCAAACGUCUUGAAUAAUUGAAGUUCAAUUAUUGAUUUCCGGGCACUUCAUAAAGCUUAGUAAAAGAUUUUCUGGAGAAGACGAGUUAGUUAGAUGAAGGCUAGGCAUUCUAGGACUCGUAUAGCUAUGUAGCUGGAUUGCUUGGCAUCUAGGAAGGAUCUUCGAAGAAAUAAGACAAAGACUCCCGUCGCUCCAAUGGUAAGCUUUCAUGUCUUGUUAUCAGCUUGUACUUACUUUCUGUGUCAUGUAUCAGUCUUAUAAUAGAUCGCUCACUUGCCUACAAAAAGUGUCUCUGUUCUUUAAAGGAAGCCUGUCUGAUCUAUUAUAGGUGGCCUUUCACUUAGUAUUCGUCUAUAUGCUAGAUCCAACUUAUUAUUAGCCAAGCUUUCCUCCUUUAAUUUAGUAUUGGUAUCACUGCCAUUGUGCUUAGUAUUAGCAGGCCUGAUGGGAUGAGUGAUCACAUCUUGGAGAGCCCAGAAAACUCUGUGAAAUUGUCCUAUAACAUUUAUAUGGAUGGUUCCACCAGCGAGUGUCGGAGGCCUGAGAAACAAUAGUCUAUUGGCUAGAAUGUUGUUAUGGAGGGACAAGUGGCACGGGAUACAUACAUCUAAAAAAACAAGAGUGGAUCUACGCCAAGCUAGCUAGCUAGAUAGCUGCUCUUUCUAAUGCUGAAGUGGAGCUAUAAUAUACCUGGCUCCUCUUGAUGAUUGUAAGUACUGGGCUGAGGCUGAGCUAUUUUCAGAUUGAUCAUGGUAUGUUUAGUCGUAUGGGAUCUCAUACCUCUUCAAGAUGAUUCACCAACUACUUCUCGGGGCACCAGCUACCCUACUCCACCAACUACUAAGAAAACAACCGGCAGUCACGAUGGUUCUCUCCGGCUCCUAUCAACAAAGCGUACCCUGCCAAUCAGUAAAUCUACUCCUCGAGGAAGAAAAGUGAAAGAACUUCUAAGCUACUUGAUAGUGACAACAGCUCUGAUUCGGAUGACGAAAGUGAUAGAGUGUAUGCUAAAAGACAAAGGCGAAGAUCCCAGAGUGUAUCCCAGAGUGUUGGUGAUGGUGAUACAGACUUUCGUUGUGUAAAAAGGUGGAUAGAAACAGCCGAGCUCUGAAAGAGAUGCAACAGCAGCAGCAUUCGCGAAAGAGGUGAGAAGGUGCUACAAGGUUUUACUUGAUGACAAUGAAGGAGAUGGUUUUCAAGGAUGGUUAAUUGAGUCAGGUGUAUCGAUAAAGUCAGACGAAAAUCAAUCAGUGAUUCGAAGGCUUGUCAAGGAAGUUUGAGGGUUAAAUCCUACAUUUGAUGCUGCGGAUAUACGUGGUA